UUCAGGACUAAAGUAAGGCAGAGCCACUACGGUCUGGCACUUCUUGUUGCUGUGCUUGCAUCUAUGAUAUUUUCCAAUUAGCUUCUUCAUAUCCCCAAUAGCUUUAGAAAGGGAUCACCGAACUCAAAAGAAUUUUGUCUAAAAUAGAAUUCAACUCAGAGAACAUGCUAUGGAGAAGAGGCAAAAGAGGAGAACUCUAAUGUGGAAGAAUGUCUUAGAGGAAGAGAGGAGUUGCAGCAUUUUAUAGAACAACCCCAAUGUUUAGAGGGACUGGUGACUCAAGGCACUGUCACCAAGGAGGAAACAAAGACUGUGUGUCUGGGAGCCUUCAGCCCAGUGCUAGAGGAGAUAAGGCAAAUGGACCUCCUGUGAGAGGCCUCAGCACACAUUGUUCAUCAUUUAAUCAGCAACCAGCAAUCAUCGCAUACCCACCAAGUGUCAGCGCAAGGCCAGUGCAUCUCAACAAAGACGUCCAUCGAACACUUCCUCUGCGCCAGGUGGGUGGUGCGCACUGUAGCAAACAUUAGGGCAACCAGAUGAGUCCUGUCUUUACAAAGCUCGUGUUCUAGUGUGAGAAGCUAACACGAAUCACUCCCUGUAAGGAGAAGCAGACAGGGAUACAUUCCCUGGAGUUGAAAUGCUAUGAGAAUAAGAGAGGAUGAGAUUCAUUCCUGCCUGGGGCACCCCGGGAAGACUUCACUGUGAAGGUGGCGCGUGCAUCUGGAGGCUGAUCCUUACUUACAUGGAGAAGGUGGUAAUCUAACUGGGACUUGAAGGUUGCAUAAGAUUAUUCCUACAAUUUCUGUCAGAUAUCUGCA